GAUGAACGCUGGCGGCGUGCCUAAUACAUGCAAGUCGAGCGAACAGACGAGGAGCUUGCUCCUCUGACGUUAGCGGCGGACGGGUGAGUAACACGUGGAUAACCUACCUAUAAGACUGGGAUAACUUCGGGAAACCGGAGCUAAUACCGGAUAAUAUAUUGAACCGCAUGGUUCAAUAGUGAAAGACGGUUUUGCUGUCACUUAUAGAUGGAUCCGCGCCGCAUUAGCUAGUUGGUAAGGUAACAGCUUACCAAGGCAACGAUGCGUAGCCGACCUGAGAGGCUGAGCGGCCACCCUGGAACUGAGAAACGGUCAAGACUCCUACGGGAGGCAGCAGUAGGGAAUCUUGCGAAAUGGGGGAAAGCCUGAUGGAGCAACGUAGCGUGAGUGAUGAAGGUCUUCGGAUCGUAAAACUCUGUUAUUAGGGAAGAACAAAUGUGUAAGUAACUAUGCACGUCUUGACGGUACCUAAUCAGAAAGCCACGGCUAACUACGUG
rnacentral:rRNA from 1 species